AGUGAACGCUGGCGGUAGGCCUAACACAUGCAAGUCGAACGGCAGCACAGUAAGAGCUUGCUCUUACGGGUGGCGAGUGGCGGACGGGUGAGGAAUACAUCGGAAUCUACUUUUUCGUGGGGGAUAACGUAGGGAAACUUACGCUAAUACCGCAUACGACCUACGGGUGAAAGCAGGGGAUCUUCGGACCUUGCGCGAUUGAAUGAGCCGAUGUCGGAUUAGCUAGUUGGCGGGGUAAAGGCCCACCAAGGCGACGAUCCGUAGCUGGUCUGAGAGGAUGAUCAGCCACACUGGAACGGAGACACGGUCCAGACUCCUACGGAAGGAGGCGGUGGGAAAUUUUGGACAAUGGGCGCAAGCCUGAUCCAGCCAUACCGCGUGGGUGAAGAAGGCCUUCGGGUUGUAAAGCCCUUUUGUUGGGAAAGAAAGGCGGCAGUUUAUUACCCCCCUGUUCUGACGGUACCCAAAGAAUAGCACCGGCUAACUUCGUG
rnacentral:rRNA from 1 species